rnacentral:rRNA from 1 species
UAGGGAAUCUUCCGCAAUGGGCGAAAGCCUGACGGAGCAACGCCGCGUGAGUGAUGAAGGUCUUCGGAUCGUAAAACUCUGUUAUUAGGGAAGAACAAAUGUGUAAGUAACUAUGCACGUCUUGACGGUACCUAAUCAGAAAGCCACGGCUAACUACGUGCCAGCAGCCGCGGUAAUACGUAGGUGGCAAGCGUUAUCCGGAAUUAUUGGGCGUAAAGCGCGCGUAGGCGGUUUUUUAAGUCUGAUGUGAAAGUCCACGGCUCAACCGUGGAGGGUAAUUGGAAACUGGAAAACUUGAGUGCAGAAGAGGAAAGUGGAAUUCCAUGUGUAGCGGUGAAAUGCGCAGAGAUAUGGAGGAACACCAGUGGCGAAGGCGACUUUCUGGUCUGUAACUGACGCUGAUGUGCGAAGGCGUGGGGAUCAAACAGG